GACGAACGCUGGCGGCGUGCUUAACACAUGCAAGUCGAACGGAAAGGCCCUGCUUGUGUGGGGUGCUCGAGUGGCGAACGGGUGAGUAACACGUGAGUAACCUGCCCUUUAAUUUGGGAUACCUUCAGGAAACUGAGGCUAAUACCGGAUAGGAGCUCCUACUGCAUGGUGUGGGUUGGAGAGGUUCGGCGGAUGGGGCUGGUGGCGCGGCUUAUCAGGUUGUUGGUGGGGUAGUGGCUGACGAAGGCUUUGACGGGUAGCCGGCCUGAGAGGGUGACCGGCCCCAUAGGGCUUGGGGUAGGGCCAAGAGGGCAACGGGGGGAAGGAGUGGAAAACAGUGCAAAAUGGGCGGAAUCCUGAUGCAGCAACGUCGGGUGCGGGAUGACGGCUGUUGGGUAGGAAACCGCUUUCGCGUGUGACGAAGCGUGAGUGACGGUAACUGGUAAAAAAGCAACGGCUAACUACGUG
rnacentral:rRNA from 1 species